CCUACGGGUGGCAGCAGUGAGGAAUAUUGGUCAAUGGCCGGAAGGCUGAACCAGCCAAGCCGCGUGAAGGACGACGGUGCCAAGCAUUGUAAACUUCUUUUGUCAAGGGACAACAUCAGGCUCGAGAGCCUGACCGAGGGUACUUGAAGAAAAAGCAUCGGCUAACUCCGUGCCCGCAGCCGCGGUAAUACGGGGGAUGCGACGGGUAUCCGGAUUUAUUGGGUUAAAAGGGUGCGUAGGCGGGCUGGUAAGUCCGCGGUAAAAGCCCGGGGCUCAACCCCGGCGAGCCGUUGAAACUGGCUGUCUUGAGAUGUCGAGAGGUAUGCGGAAUGCGCAGUGUAGCGGUGAAAUGCUUAGAUAUUGCGCAGAACUCCGAUUGCGAAGGCAGCAUACCGGCGGCGAUCUGACGCUGAGGCACGAAAGCGUGGGUAUCGAACAGGAUUAGAUACCCGGGUAGUC
rnacentral:rRNA from 1 species